rnacentral:lncRNA from 1 species
GGGGAAUGAAGAGGAUCCAAUGAUCCUUAUAUGGGUUACUGUUUCCACAUCCCUAUGUUUCAACUAUAUGAUAGAGAUGGAAGGCAUCAGUCUCAGCACUAUAACUCAGUUUCCAAGCACACUGAGUAUAAUGUGAAGUCCAGGCCUCCGAGACAGCACCACCUCAGUGAACUGAUCGACCUUGUUGCAGUGUUAGAAACAUGAAGACAUCUGAUAAAUGCUGCCACUUCCAGCCUGGCAUUUCUGUUGUUCUGAGUCUUAGUAGGCAGUUCAGAAAAGCAUUCUGCUUGUUCAUCUCCCAUCACCAGUCCUGUGUCUGGUGCUGGAAAUGCACCAUGAUUGGAUACUCACGGCAAUAAGAGCUGUGGAAGCAACAUGCAAGUGGUGCUUUCCAAGAGGGAAGACCAUGAAGGCGCAUCAUCCAUGUGAAGGCUUUGCAUCAGAUGAGAGACAAACUAGAUCAAGUAGCCAGCAUGUCCUGGAGGAACUAACCUGUUGAGUUUGCAUGAGAAAAUCUUUACAGAGGCAGAAGGAGAAUUCUAUUGUUUGAGACCAAAUGGCAUGACAAUAAUGUCAGAGUUGGGUUAACGCUUCCAGCUUGACUUGCCAGCCCGGUGCCCUGCAGCCUGGGCAGGCAGGCACCACUACGAUGAGCAGGUAUGUGUGGAGAAAUUGGAGAAAGGGAGAAGCAGGUUCUUGACUGUGGAGAGAAGCAAACCUGAAGACGGUAUGGCUGAUAUGGGUGGCCUACUGGGGCUGUGAUGAUCAGGUCAGACCAAGGGCUAUGUCUGUUGUCCAUGACCCUACCACAUCUGGGGUCUGUGAUAAUGUCUGUGGCUAAUGUUACCACCAAAAGCUGUGAGCAUGUUUGUGGUCUGGGCUGCUACCUGAGGGCCACCUGAGCCCACAUUGGUCACUGAGAGCCAAACCACCACUGGGGCCAUACUGAACUGAGCAACCUGUGCUGUCACCCGAGGCCCAUGGUGACCUCCACUCCAAGCUGCAGCCAAGGGCUAUGUCUGGGUCUGUGGUCCUAUGUUGAUGUCCGUGGCCUGUGUUACUACUGAGGGACAGGGGAGAGCUGGUCCCGGUGUUGUGGGUGGCCUGAAAAGCUGAGAGGUGGUCUGCCCCUCGCUGACUGCUGAGGCCAAAAAGAUGUAUGCCACUCCCAGGAGAACUGGCCCCUGUGGUGUGAGAGCAGAAGAGUUGGCCCCAAAGGGCGCUGGAGAGCUGGCUUCACCCCAUGCCUGAGCAGGGGGCGAUUCCGGUGGAAGCCCUCACUGACCAACUCAACUACCAGCCAGGCCCACAUCCAGGGCUUUGAGUUUCCCCCUCCCCAAUCUACCUCAUCUAUGAUCUGUUAGGGUGCAUGAAGGGACAGGUCCUGCGGAACCAUAGCCAUAGGAUCUCCACAACUCAAAGCAACAGCAGGAUAUCUGAGAGGAGUUUUUGUGAAUGGUGUGCUAGAAACCAGAGACCUUGAACCAAACCAACAACUCCUUGCAAUGAACAUUUGCAAGUAAAGCUGUUUGAGCAAAAGGGUAUACUGCGUAACACACCACAGCUACUAAGGCCAUUAUGAAAAAUGAGUAUGUGAUGGAGAGGUGGGAAAGACAGAGGAGAGACAGUUUGUUUUUGUUUUUGUUUUUGUUUUGUUUUGUUUUGUUUUGUUUGUUUGUUUUCGUUUUUCAAGACAGGGUUUCUCUAUGUAGCCCUGGCUGGCCUGGAACUUACUUUGUAGACCAGGCUGGCCUCAAACUCACAGAUUCACCUGCCUCUGCCUCCCGAGUGAGUGCUGGGAUUAAAAGUGUGCAUCACCACAGCCAGGCUUGCUUUGCAGGGGGGGGAGGCUACAAAGGCUGGAGGAGGGGGAGGGCAGAUGUGGAAGGACUGGGAAAAGAGUGAGAUUAGGGUGCAUAAUGUGAUAUUCCCAAAGAAUCAAUAAAAGAUUUGUGUUGAUUAAAAACAAUUUUUCAUUCCAGCUGCACUCCAGGGAAAGUGUUCAAUGUCAACCCUGCUCUUCAAACAAUGAGACUGGACCCAGUUCUAGGAGAUCUUGUAUGGAGGUUCCUCAGGAAAAUGGGAAUCAGUCUACCUCAAGAUCCAGCAAUUCCACUCUUAGGCAUAAUACCCAAAGGAUGCACAUUCAUACCACGAGGACAUCUGUCCAACUAUGUUCAUAACAGCAUUAUUUGUAAUAGCCAGAACCUGAAAGCAGCCUAGAUACCCUUCAACAGAAGAUUGGAUAAAGAAAAUGUGGUAAAUUUAUACAAUGGAGUACUACUCGGCAGGACUGAAAUCUUGAAAUUUGCAGGCAAAUGGAUGGAACAAAAAGAAACUAUACUGAGUGACAUAACCCAGACCUAAAAAGAAAAACAUGGUAUGUUCUCACUCAUAAGUAGAUAUUAAACAUAGAGCAAAAGAUAAUCAGCCUACAUACAAUUCACAG